rnacentral:piRNA from 1 species
UUUCUUCAAGAUUCUGUUUUCUGCUGC